rnacentral:lncRNA from 1 species
AACACUUUCAUAAUUCAACAGAAUUACAAACAGAGGUCUACAGCCAAAAGUCUUCAAAAGACUGGCUCUUAAAAAUGAACUGUCCUACGACCUACAAGUCAUACACGCUCUCCAAUCCUUAUAACUUCAUCUUUGCAACUCCUCAAGGCCAACCAAAGCUAUCUGGUCGCUCCGUCCACCAGGGACCUGAAAUUUUAAUCCCACAACCGAGAUGAGACGAUGUCUUAGCAAGUUCAACCCCCUAAACCCCUAUUAGAAAGAAAAUACGCCCCGGGUGGCCUAGCCACAUCACACAGAAGACUUACCUCGCCUCAGCCUUCAUCUGCAGGUUAGCACAAUUUAUAUAAUUUAACCACAUACAAUUAUGAUAACCAAACAACCGUGGCACAAUCACAUUAUCAAAACAAUUCAACCACUUGGAUCGUCUCAGCGAUCAAUCGACUCGGCCGAUUACAUGUCAUUCUAGCAAAUCAAUCAUUGCUCUCAAUCCCGGCCCUAUAGGAAGGUUUAACAAUCAGUGGCAAUCACGGCCCCACUCGGCACGACCUUUAAUUAUGUGGUCCAUCACGGCCUCACUAGGCACGACCUCUAAUAGGUGGUUAAUUACGGCCUCACUGGGCACGACCUCUCCUAGGUGGUACAUCACGGCCUCACUGGGCACGACCUCUAAUAGGUGGUCAAUCACGGCCUCACUAGGCACGACCUCUCAUAGGUGGUUCAUCACGGCCCUAUUAGGCACGACCUCUCAUAGGUGGUCCAUCACGGCCUCACUGGGCACGGCCUCUAAUAGGUGGUUAAUCACGGCCUCACUGGGCACGGCCUCUAAUAGGUGGUUAAUCACGGCCUCACUGGGCACGACCUUUCCUAGGUGGUACAUCACGGCCUCACUGGGCACGACCUUUCCUAGGUGGUACAUCACGGCCAAUCUCCCAUCAAUUUCUACACUUAGGAUUUUAUAAAAAAAAAUCCCUAUUUAUCACAAUCACACUCCAUUUGCCACAAUCAAUCAUCAAAUGCACAGCAGCGAUCGGCACGAAAUUCUGAGAGUUUAGGGUCCUGACAAAAUUUUCGGAAUUUAUUAAAUAAUUAAAUUUAUUCCGAAAAUAAUUAAAUAAUAAUAUUCAUAUUUCUCACGAUCCACACUCAAUUUAUAAUAUCCAAUCAUCAAUUUCAAAAUUCGACUACACAGCAGCGAUCGGCACGAAAUUUUGAGCAACCGGGAUCAAAAGUAAUUUUUCCUUUUUUUUUUAAAUAAUAAUAUUUAAUAAUUUCGGAAUUAAUAUAAUAUUAUAAAUUUCCAGAAUUUCGAAGCAAUUAAAUAAUUCAAAAUUAAAAUCCUAUUAUGUCACAUCAAGGCUUUAUAUUAAAAAUAAACAUACUUAACUUUAAUCAUCAACCAAAUAAACUAAUAUAACUACAUAAACUUACUUAACUUAGACUAAGCACACUUAGGGCAUCAUUAACCGUCUAAUCAAGGUUUAGUGAGUUAAACUCACCGGAUUAGAGAGCCGAGCGAACCAAAAUGACGAGGACGACGCG